AUUGAACGCUGGCGGCAUGCCUUACACAUGCAAGUCGAACGGCAGCGGGGGAGAAGCUUGCUUUUCCUGCCGGCGAGUGGCGAACGGGUGAGUAAUACAUCGGAACGUGCCCUGUAGUGGGGGAUAACUAGUCGAAAGAUUAGCUAAUACCGCAUACGACCUGAGGGUGAAAAUGGGGGACCGCAAGGCCUCAUGCUAUAGGAGCGGCCGAUGUCUGAUUAGCUAGUUGGUGGGGUAAAGGCCUACCAAGGCGACGAUCAGUAGCUGGUCUGAGAGGACGAUCAGCCACACUGGGACUGAGACACGGCCCAGACUCCUACGGGAGGCAGCAGUGGGGAAUUUUGGACAAUGGGCGAAAGCCUGAUCCAGCAAUGCCGCGUGUGUGAAGAAGGCCUUCGGGUUGCAAAGCACUUUUGUCCGGAAAGAAAUGGCUCUGGUUAAUACCUGGGGUCGAUGACGGUACCGGAAGAAUAAGGACCGGCUAACUACGUGCCAGCAGCCGCGGUAA
rnacentral:rRNA from 1 species